GUUCAAUUACUUACGCGCGCGCGCCACCAGUGUCGCCGACUCCUGCUCACCACGUCUGUUCACCACCAUCACAUCGCCAGGCUUCAGCUCCUUGUUCAGAGGACUCACUACAGACCUCACAUACACCACAUCACGGCCACCGCUCUUCCACUCCACAAGCAACCAGUUACAAUCAGUUUGCCUGGACAUCACUCACUAAAAUCACUGGCAGACAUACGAACACCUCAAGCUUCACCAAAUGACUAGAAUGCAUUGCAUCGGUCCCUCAGGUAAAAGUUUCAUUACAACGCUCCCUAACUGCAGUUAUUACUUCCCCCGCCCAAAACGAACAAUAGUUUUCGCCAACGGGCCCGGGUCUAACAAAAAACGCAUCCUUUUUUGCAACGUACUUCCUAGUAAGUUUCUAAGCGGAGAUUUAUAUUCUUUUGUGUAAUUUGUGUUGUCUUGCCGAAAGUCGUAAAAGUAUUUAAAACAAUUGGUUAUUCUUUCUUUCAUAAGCUUGUAGUAGUCAUAGAGACCAGUAAAAUGUGUUGAAAAGAUGCAUCAUUUCGUAUUAAUUUGAUCUAUAGGAAAUGAAAUUUCCCUUUCUAGUAUGUAUCCUUUUAAAUUAAGUUUAAUAGAUAUACGCGUAAGAUGAUUGAUUAUAUCUAUUCUAAUUAGAGUGAUGUGGUAUACGUAGUCUGGAACCUAGUAGUGUGAUACAAAAAGUUGCACUUUUUCCAUUUAAUCCCUAAACCACAUUCUCAUAUAUUUCAUGGACCAUGCAUGGGUGCAUGCAUGCAUGCAUGCGCAUCGUUGACACUGACUUUAAAACUUUUAUCACCGUGUUAUGCGUUGUAAAUUUAUUCCGCAAGACACUACUUUUGGAAUUUAGUCUGGGGCAUAUUACACCGAGCAAGUGGCUGCCUUAAAACAUUUCGACAAAUCUUUUGCAAAAGGAUUCGAUACGAUUACACGAUUCGUAUUAUUGGCCUUAAGAGCUUACAAAUAAACGCUCUUUAUAGCUUGGAAGCCAUCAUUGGCAUAUUCGGGGAGCACGCAUAUUUUAAUACGUAAAUUAAUAAGUUAUUUUACUUGGAUCUUUGAUUGGCCUAGAUUUCCUAAAUCACAAAACUUAUGAAGAGUAGAAGAAUACUUUUCUUAUGACUUAAAAAGACCACAUACAUUGUGAACCUAAUCACUUGUGUAGGUGAUAAUUGGAACAUUAUGUGGAACGGAACGUAACACAAAUUGUAAAAUAUAAACAUGUCAAAUCAGAUAUUUUAGGUUAUGUCCGAAUCUCCAAGGCAUGUUGAUUUACGAGAUUAAAUAAAUAUGUUACUUUGUGUAAACAAAUAAUGGAAGGUAGUAGUGAAGCAACGACAUUGCAGAAGAAAAAGAAUACAGUCAGCAAAGGUAAAAUAAAGAAAAGUCUUAAGAAUGUCCUUUGUCGCCCGGAUCAACUGUUUUGGCCCGAGAUAACAGAAAAUGAAGGAAAGAGAAUAGAAUCAGUUCUAAAGAACCAUAGUAUUGUCAUUCCAGUAUUUCAGAAACCACACUGGAAAGAAAUAAAAAAUGUUCCAAAAGAAAAGCGACCAAAACCACCAAAGUUAAAAAAAAAUGAAGGCUUGUUGCUUGGAAUCAGAGAAUGUAC